UACGUAGGGACCAAGCGUUGUUCGGAUUUACUGGGCGUAAGGGCGCGUAGGCGGCGCGACAAGUCACUUGUGAAAUCUCUGAGCUUAACUCAGAACGGCUAAGUGAAACUGUUGUGCUAGAGUGCAGAAGGGGCAAUCGGAAUUCUUGGUGUAGCGGUGAAAUGCGUAGAUAUCAAGAGGAACACCUGAGGUGAAGACGGGUUGCUGGGCUGACACUGACGCUGAAGCGCGAAAGCCGGGGAGCAAACGGG
rnacentral:rRNA from 1 species